rnacentral:tRNA from 1 species
GGGACCGAGGUGUUACGGCAGCAUCCCCGGCUUUUAACCGGUGGGGUCAGGGUUCGAAUCCCUGAGGUCCUACCU